rnacentral:rRNA from 1 species
GUGUCAGCCGCCGCGGUAAUACAGAGGUGGCGAACGUUGUCCGGAUUUAUUGGGUGUAAAGGGCAUGUAGGUGGUCUUGUAAGUCAAAGGUGAAAUGGCUCGGCUCAACCGAGUCAUUGCCUUUGAAACUGCCGGACUUGAGUACGGAAGAGGAGAGCGGAAUUCCCAGUGUAGCGGUGAAAUGCGUAGAUAUUGGGAGGAACACCGGUGGCGAAAGCGGCUCUCUGGUCCGAAACUGACACUGAGAUGCGAAAGCCAGGGGAGCAAACGGGAUUAGAUACCCCGGUAGUCCUGGCCGUAAACGAUGAGAACUAGGUGUUAGAGGUAUCCACUCCUCUAGUGCCGCAGCUAACGCAUUAAGUUCUCCACCUGGGGACUACGACCGCAAGGUUGAA